CAGCAGCCACGGUAAUACGAAGGGUGCAAGCGUUAAUCGGAAUUACUGGGCGUAAAGCGUGCGCAGGCGGUUCGCUAAGACAGAUGUGAAAUCCCCGGGCUUAACCUGGGAACUGCAUUUGUGACUGGCGGGCUAGAGUAUGGCGGAGGGGGGUAGAAUUCCACGUGUAGCAGUGAAAUGCGUAGAGAUGUGGAGGAAUACCGAUGGCGAAGGCAGCCCCCUGGGCCAAUACUGACGCUCAUGCACGAAAGCGUGGGGAGCAAACAGGAUUAGAUACCCCAGUAGUCCCUGUCCUUAUACA
rnacentral:rRNA from 1 species